UUUGCAGUCGGCAGAAGAUGGCUUAUAACUAUUUUAUGCUUUCAGGUUGGUGAGUUUUUUCAUCUAGCUCAAAGCAUAGCUGCAGCUCAUCAAAGAGAACUGGAAGUGCAGCAAAACGGGGAAGGAUAUAUUGACACUCCCUUAUUAUUGGAACAAGAAAUGACAACCGAUCCAACGAAACAAGUUAAACUAGGAUAUAUCAGUGGUCUAGUUCCGAGGGAAAAGUCAAUGGCUUUCAAAGCGUGGUGGCCCUGUUUCAUUCCUACAGAUUCACCCUUCUCCAGCAAAGUCUGGUACUCCUCCAGCAAAGCCUGAUAGGCAUGAUGUACUCAGAAGAUCACACCCUUUAUUGCUGAUUGUUGCAGGAGAAGAAAGCAAGGAUGUAGCUAUGGGACAAAACCAUAGUCCUAUGGGCGUCCACCCAGGAAGUUGUGUCAACUCUCACAAUGCUGUUCAGUUUUACUCCCUUAAGUCUCACUCUUAUGUGCAUGUUUUGAGAUUCAGAUCUGCUGUUUGUAUGGUUAGAUGCAGUUCUCAGAUAGUGGCCGUGGGCCUGGCUACACAAGUAAGGACCAAAAUGAAUGACAACUAUGGAUAUAGAAUUGAUUUCAUGGUAACAUCUUCUUGAUGAGUAUGUACUAACAUAGGGAAAAUGCACUUACAAAAAGUUAUGAUGAUCUACAUUUCUAUUCAA